GUCGUCGUUUUCUCUGAUUCUUAGCAUCAUCAAUCGCUUUCUCUUCAUUCUCUUCAUUCGAGGCCAUAGCCAUAACGCAGAUGUGUCCUUCUUCUCGGAGGCCAUCGCCGAUCUACGCGUUACCGUAUCUAUUUCCUAGUUGCUGUAACGAAGUCGAUUUCAGCGUCUGCUUUGUUUCGGAGAAUAUUGAUGGUGUCAUUCUUCUCUCCGAGGGUGAAAAUCGCUAUUUCGAAUGCUACAGACUCUGCAGGUCGUAUUAGGUAGCUAAGAUUGUGGCACCUCUGAAAGACCUUCCUUCUGUAAAGUCAACAACUGUAACACACUACGAUCACACAAAUGAUCCAUAUUUCAAGAAACGGUUUAGUAAAUCAGAAGAAGAGCAAACUUCUGUGGUUAAGCCAAAUCAUGUGCCGCCUUACUUGAAGCGGAGUGGAUUUAUUCCCCGGAAAGUAGAGGAUUUUGGAAAUGGUGCAUUCCUAGAGAUUCACGUUGCUCAAUACCCCCUUGACAUUGGUAGAGACAGAUCAUCAAAAGCCUGGAUCAAAGAUCCUUCCUGUCACUGUGGAUGAUCAUGGAAUUGUUGCAGAUGAUGCUAUCGUCAAACCGAACGAUAACAUAAAGACCUCAUUCCAAAGAUCUUGAAAAAUGAUGAAAAUGAAGGAUUGCAGAGAGGGAUAGAAGAAACAACCUAGGAAACGAAGUCUGUCCUUGAAAAGAUAGUGAAUGUUAAGAUUAAGUGCAGCUCAGCCUAAAAAAGUAGCCAAACAAUCAUCAGAUUCGAAGUUUAUUAAGUAUAAGUCAUCUCAGCAAUCAGCAGCGUUUAAUUCAGGCGCCAAAGAGAGAAUCAUUAGAAUUUGAAAUUGAGCCAGUUUAUCCACUCGGUGCCUGUCAUGCAUUCCCCUCGUCCUGUCACUGUGAAGGAUCAGCGGGACUGGAAAAUUCCUCCUUGUAUUUCAAAUUGGAAGAAUCCGAAAGAAAAAGCAUGAGAAGCAGUUGCAGUGAGAUCCAAGGUUCAGAAAGAAAUGUUUAUGAAGCAGAUGGAGAAGAAGGAGUCAGAGCUAUGAGCGCUAGCUCAAAAGGCUCGGUCUGAGAGUACUGGAGCUGCCCCUUCUUCUGCAGCUCCUUAUCCGUCAGAGAGAAAGAGAGGUCGAAGAAGCCGAUCCGUUUGGACUUGAUCAGUUCUUGACUAGUGAAGAAAGGUAAGAAAGCUAAGGAUAAAGUUGGCAGUGGUGGAAUGAGAGCGAGUGGUGGCUCAUCGACACGUGAUGGCUACGAUGGUGGCUCCGGUAGAACUCGCAUUGGAUUCGAAAGAAGGCAGUAGAGAUCCCUGGCUCAUUUGGAUUAAGUUUUUCGCUGCGACAGGUGGAAAAGUUGGGAUCCUGAUCGGGAGGACGCUUUUGGGCGAAAAUGGUGCCAAAUU